GUGGGGAAUAUUGGACAAUGGGCGAAAGCCUGAUCCAGCCAUGCCACGUGUGUGAAGAAGGUCUUCGGAUUGUAAAGCACUUUAAGUUGGGAGGAAGGGCAGUAAGUUAAUACCUUGCUGUUUUGACGUUACCGACAGAAUAAGCACCGGCUAACUUCGUGCCAGCAGCCGCGGUAAUACGAAGGGUGCAAGCGUUAAUCGGAAUUACUGGGCGUAAAGCGCGCGUAGGUGGUUUUGUAAGUUGGAGGUGAAAUCCCCGGGCUCAACCUGGGAACUGCCUCCAAAACUGCAUGACUAGAGUACGGUAGAGGGUAGUGGAAUUUCCUGUGUAGCGGUGAAAUGCGUAGAUAUAGGAAGGAACACCAGUGGCGAAGGCGACUACCUGGACUGAUACUGACACUGAGGUGCGAAAGCGUGGGGAGCAAACAGGAUUAGAUACCCCGGUAGUCC
rnacentral:rRNA from 1 species